rnacentral:rRNA from 1 species
GCAGGUACAGAGGGAUGCUAUCGGGCGACCGGAUGCGGAUCUCGAAAGCCUGUCCCAGUUCGGACUGGAGUCUGCAACCCGACUCCACGAAGUUGGAUUCGCUAGUAAUCGCGCAUCAGCCAUGGCGCGGUGAAUACGUUCCCGGGCCUUGUACACACCGCCCGUCAAGCCAUGGGAGCCGGGGGCGCCUGAAGUCCGGGACCGCGAGGACCGGCCUAGGGCGAAACUGGUAACUGGGGCUAAGUCGUAACAAGGUACC